rnacentral:rRNA from 1 species
CCUUACCUACCCUUGACAUGUCAGGAAUCCUGUAGAGAUAUGGGAUUGCUCGAAAGAGAAUCUGAACACAGGUGCUGCAUGGCCGUCGUCAGCUCGUGUCGUGAGAUGUUGGGUUAAGUCCCGCAACGAGCGCAACCCUUAUCAUUAGUUGCUACGCAAGGGCACUCUAAUGAGACUGCCGGUGACAAAACCGGAGGAAGGUGGGGAUGACGUCAGGUCAUCAUGGCCCUUAUGGGUAGGGCUACACACGUCAUACAAUGGCCGGUACAGAGGGCUGCCAACUCGCGAGAGGGAGCUAAUCUCAGAAAACCGGUCGUAGUCCGGAUCGCAGUCUGCAACUCGACUGCGUGAAGUCGGAAUCGCUAGUAAUCGCGGAUCAGCUUGCCGCGGUGAAUACGUUCCCGGGUCUUGUACACACCGCCCGUCACACCAUGGGAGCGGGUU